CCACCCCAAACACGCCCUAAAGGUUCACGAUUCUCUUCCCCAAAUUUCCUCUUUUCCCCCAAAGACUUCACGAUCUUCUCUUCCGUCUGCUCGCAAGCCCUCAUUCAUCGCAAGUCGCCGCAUAAGAUUGGUUGCGUUCGUCCGCUGCUGAAGACUUGUUGCAUUCGUCCGCCAUUGAAGACUUGUUGGGUUCGUCCGCCGCUCAAGGAAAGUUGUGUUCGUCCACGUGAGCUUCCCCCCAAAUUUCCCUUUUCAUUUUCUUAACUUUCGAUAGGACAAAGGAAGAUGAUGAGGAGGAUGAUUGAGAGAUUGAUUCACACGAAGAGGAAGAUGGUUUGGGAAAUUUUGGCAUUGACGCCACCAUUGUAGCUUCGGAGGUUUGGGUUAUGGAACCAGCUUGAAGUAGAGUAGGUGUUGAAGGUGAUGGGAUGCGAUUUGUGAGUGACUUACGGAAAAGGAUGUCUCUGCCUCUUGGUUCCCUUCAACUUCUCUAAAAUCCAAACACCAACCUUCACAAUAUGAAGAUCUUCCAAGCAUCCUAAUCCCCUUGAAUUUAUUUGAUCAAUUGAACGUGAUAUUUUUUCCUAACCGGAAUCAAUCCUCGCAAAUGGCGUUGGCCUGCCGCCUGUGGUUUGUCACUCCACUACAGUCGCUUGCCAUCUCCAUCAACCAUAAAUGAGAUUUGGUAUAAACAAAAGACAGAAUAAUUGUCCCAGACUGUCUUGCAGUGCGGGUGGUUAACACUACAUUUUAAUUUGUGGGUGAUUUUGAGUAACUAUGCAGAAUUCUUGUACCAGGCAAGUUCUUCUAUCCUUGUUUCAAUUUCUUUAUUAUGCUAUAGAUUGUUUAGGCCGAACUAUAAACUUUUUGAGUAACUAUGUUUAUUUUAAUAUUGUUGGACUUCAAAACAGGUUAAUGAUAAAAUAUAUGCAUAUUUUAAAAUAUAUAAUUUUUUAUUUGAACAAACCUUAUAUACUUGAUAUCUAUAAACUGUCAAGUGAAAUUAUACUUGACGUGUAAAACCUGUCAAAAAUAAAACCUCUUUAUUCUUGACACUGGAUUAAUUGACGCAUAAAAACUGUCAAGUAUAAUUAUAUACUUAACGUUUUUUCAGUCAAGUAUAAUUAUACUUGACACUUAGAAACUGUCAAGUAAACCAUCCUUAUUCUUGACACUGGAUUAGUUGACACAUUGAAAAGCGUCAAGUAAACAGUUAAAAAGCGUCAAGUAAAUCCAGUUUUGUAGUAGUGCAUCCUCUACAAAUAAUCAAUUGAACGAUUCUUCCAAUGUUCAUAAUGAUCAGUAUACUUCUUGAGCUACCUUAUCAAGCUAUUAAAUCUUUGCAACCUUCUUCAUCUGUUAGUGCGAUCUCUUGUGCAGCUCCUAAUGUUUGGCACACGAGGAGAUGAUAAUUUCCUCUUAUGGAAAUUUCAAGUCCUCAUAGCCCUGGAAGCCUACGACCUUGAAAUCUUCCUCGAUCCCGACUCAGACUCAUCUCUAAAAAUUAUCACAACUGGUGGAAGACCAGUCAUCAAUACUGCGGAAAGCUCAUCAUCAACUUUUCGAACUAUGAAUCCGGUGUACAAAGUGUUGAAAAGACAAGAUCGACUCAUCUCAUGUUGGCUCCUUGAUUAAACGAGUGAAGAAAUCCUCAACCAAAUUCUUUAUUGCACUUCACCAAAAGACGUUUGGGACUAUUCGAGUCAUCUGAAUGCCAGGAGAAUCCUCUACGAGAACAAAUCAGAAAAAUCAAUCAUCCAACAACAACCACCAAUACAAUCAACGUGGUAGUCGUGGUGAUCACUCAAAUAUAGGUGGAAGGGGAACUCAAAACAAACUUGGUGCAAACUAAGUUUGGGCACAUUACCGAUCGAUGAAUUUUUUGAUAUGUUGCACGAUCUAAGCCACCCAGGUUUUUCCACCAUAUCUCUUUAGCAUAUACUAAUGUAUCUAAUCAUCCACAGAUGUUUGCUAUGGUUGCCUCUCCUGACCUGAAUCUUAAUAAUAAUUAGUACCCUUGAUUCGGGAAUACCAAUCAUCUCACCCACAACAUGAGCAACCUAUCUACUAGAUCUGUGUAUGGUGGAGAAAAUUAAAUUUAUGCAGUAAAUGGGUUAAGUUUUCCUAUUCUCCGUUAUGGUUCAUUAUCAUUCAAGUCUUCCAUUAUUCUCUCAAAAUAACUUGUUUUUAACAAUCUACUUCAUGUCUCAUCCAUUACUAAAAACUUAAUAAGUGUGUCUCAUUUUGCCAAAAAUAACAAUGUAUUCUUUGAAUUUCACCUGAAUCUUUGUUAUGUAAAGGAUCAAAGAACAGGCCAAACUCUUCUCAAAGGAUUGCUCAAUGAUGGAUUGUAUCAGUUUCACAUCUAAUCAUCCAUUUGAUACCCUAAUCACGUUCUAAACUACGCAAUGAUAUUACACGCAUCAAGAAUUGGCUAUGCAAUGAGAUUACUAUUCGAUGGAAGACGAUGAUUGGAGAGAUUGCAAUUAACUUGCAUUUUGCGUUCUAGCUACGCGAUAGUGAAUUGUUAUGCGAUUGAGUUUCCUUCAUCUGGAAGUAGUUGACGUCAUUAUUGUAUAAGAAAGCGGGGGGACUAAUUUGACUUUGCUGCCCAAUUGAAUUCAGGAUAAGGAAGUGACAGCGACAUGUGACGUUUUGAUAUUAGAUAAUUCUCACCCUCGGGCAGAGGUAAUCAUUCAUGCAUGAAAAGUUUCACCAGAGAAACUUAUAAGUAGGUGAUCUGACAUUGGAAAACGCAUUAUGCGUGAUGGAAUUAAUGGUGAUCAAUUGUGUUAAGGCUACUCCGCACAACCGCAACCCAACAAAAAUGUCUGGUAAAUGCUUGAGUUGAAGAAAUGGUACAAAGAUGUAACUGAACACCAGAGCAAUUCGAUGGUUCCGGAUUUGCAGAUGGGAUUGAUAAUUAGUACGGGUCACAAAGUGGGAAGAUUGUUUGAGCUCAUAUCCUUCCAGCCUUCUCCUCCUUCAUCCAUCUCUGCUCCUGUCACUAAAGCUGUCAGUGGCAUAUUUGUCUUGGGCACUCUUGUUCAGCGCUUUUAUCCCCACACCUCUCAGCAAAAUGGACGUGUUGAGUGUAAACAUCGCCACAUUCUUGACUCUGUAUGUGUCCUUCUUUCUUCCUCCUACCCUAAGAAAUUUUGGGGUGAGGCUGCUCUUACAUCCAUGUACCAUCAACCGUCUUCAUUCUUUCAUUCUUCAAAACAUUUCUUCUUUCAAAAGACUGUAUGGUACUCCUCUCAACUACUUUAAUCUUAAAGUUUUUAGAUGUGUGUGUUUUGUUCUUCUCUUCAUCCUCACGAACACACUAAACUCUAACCACGUGCUUGCCUCUGCCGCUUUCUUAGAUAUGACACAGAAUAUCUCGCCAUGUGACCCUUUCGGAGCAUAUUCUGUUCUCUCAUCUUCCUUAUUUCACACCUUCUUCUCAAGUUCCCAUAUCUUCUUCAUUGAUAAAUCUAUUGACCUCUUUCCUCUUUCUGAGUUCACUCUUGAAACUGACUUACUUAAUCUACACCUACUUCUGCAAGCUCGAACCAACCAUCUGCCCCUAAUGAUGUUCUGGAGCCUACAUUAGACAUUCCUCUUCAUUGUUCUACUCGAAUAAGGAAACCUCCUAUUCAUCUCCAAGAUUAUCACUAUUUUUCCACUAUUGUUUUCCUAGUUGAACCUACCUCUUAUCAAGAGGCCAGUACUGAACUUUUAUGGCAGAAAGCGAUGAGUGAUGAAUCACAAGCUCUUGAAAUGACGCAUACUUGGGACUACGUUAAUUUACCUCCCAGAAAAAGCCACAUUGGAUGGAAGUGGAUCUACAAAAUAAAGACUCGCUCUGAUGGCAAUAUUGAGCGUUAUAAGGCUUUUCUUGUUGCGAAAGGUAUUCCCAAGAAUAUGUCGUUGACUAUGAAAAAACAUUUGCUCAUGUGGCUCGAAUCACAUCUGUUUGAAGUCUGUUAGCAGUUGCUGCCGCCAAGCAGUGGCCUCUCUUUCAUAUGGAUGUUAAGAAUGCUUUCCUCAAGCUAAGCAAAGAAGCUAGCUAAUUGUGAUUACGAGUGGUUCUUCGUAAAAGUGUUUUAAAAAAUAAAAGGAUUUCUAAUGUGCUUAAAU